rnacentral:rRNA from 1 species
UUAGUGGCGAACGGGUGAGUAACACGUGAGUAAUCUGCCCUUGACUUUGUGGAUAACUCCGGGAAACCGGGGCUAAUACCGAAUAUUCAGUGCCUGUCGCAUGGUGGGUGUUGGAAAGAUUAUCGGUCAGGGAUGAGCUCGCGGCCUAUCAGCUUGUUGGUGGGGUAAUGGCCUACCAAGGCUUUGACGGGUAGCCGGCCUGAGAGGGCGACCGGCCACACUGGGACUGAGACACGGCCCAG